ensembl:snoRNA
UGGGUAAAUGAUGAUGAGUGGUGGCGCAAGGGUCCUGGACGAUGAACAUCACAGGUCUGGAACUCUGGGUUCCAA